GUAGGAUGCAAGCGUUAUCCGGAAUUAUUGGGCGUAAAGAGUUCGUAGGCGGUUUAUUAAGUUGGAUGUUAAAGUUUUGAGCUCAACUCAAAAAAUGUAUCCAAAACUGGUAAACUAGAGACAGGUAGAGGCAAGUGGAAUUCUGCAUGUAGGGGUAAUAUCCGUAGAUAUGCAGAGGAACACCGAAAGCGAAGGCAGCUUGCUGGACCUGUUCUGACGCUCAAGAACGAAAGCAUGGGUAGCGAACGGGGGAUUAGAUACCCCGGUAGUCCAUGCCCUAAACUUUGAACACUAGGUGUUGGUGGCUUCGACCCCCUUCAGUGCCCGACGCAAACGCAUUAAGUGUUCCGCCUGGGGUAGUACGAGCGCAAGCUUAA
rnacentral:rRNA from 1 species